GGCUCGGGCUCGGGCUGGGGUGGAGGCAGCUUGAUACACAGCCUUUUAGGCUUCUGCACCCACAUCUCUGUUACCUUUCAAAUCGCAGUAAGAGUGAGGAGGUGUGUGCUGGGGGCAUGUGUAUUUGUUUUUUUUUCUACCUUCCCUACCCACAGCUCCCUUCAUUUCCUUUUGUUUUGGAGGCUUCUCUCUCAUUAGACAUAGCCCAGUCACUCUGGUUCCUUCCCUUGGCUCACAUACUGGGAUAAUUAUGCCUCUUCCUCUGGAAGCCCAGAGGACCUGAGUUCCUCUGCCCUACUCUGGAAAAGGCCAAGGACUCCCACUCCUAGCCAUCUUCUUCAUUUGGCUUCUGUUUUGACUCCCCACCUGUCCCAUAGACAGGUGCCUCCCCGACAGGUGCCUCCCCCACAGGGGCCUCUGGGCCUGCUCUGGAGGCCGCUGUCCACGCUAAGUUCACUGUGAGCUGGCUUUGCAUGGUGCCUGCAGCUGGACCUGCUGUGCUGAGCUGUUGCACUCAUCCAGACUGAAAAGUGGGCUUUAAGUGACAGGUGACGGGUCCACAAAUAGAGACAGGUAGAAGGAUGGCUGAUCCUGGCUGGCCUUGUAGUGAGAGCAUGUGGAGGUGUCCUGGAGGUGACUUUCCUUUUUCUCCCAGGAAACCAGGCAGGCUGUUCUGCUCUGCCACUGCCUGGCUCCUUCUUGAGGCUCGGUGCUCAGAUCCCCCCGCCAUUUGCUGCAGCUCUAGAGCUUACUGAAGAGUUAACAUAGGGAUCCACUAUCAGGGCUACUCAUGCCUGGGAAAAUGAGUGCUACAAAUUAACUUUCUCACAAUAGUCCUGGGUCAGUGUUUAUAAGGGCCAGUAAUCUUGUCUGUUAUCCUGAAAUGGUUUUUCUUUAACCUUCCUAUUCCCCUUUGGUCAACCAAGGACCCCACGCCCUUUGCAUGACACUCCCUCUCCUGCUUUCCCCCAAAUUUGUUUUAAAAACAGCUCCCAAGAAAGAACAUCUGGACUAGAUAGCUCCCUUUCCUCCUCUAUUUUCUGUGUGUCCAAUUAUUAUGUAUAACUGCCUUCUGGAGAAGACUUGUCAUUUACAAUUUAACACCUUUUCAGUGGUGAACCAAGACAUCUUGACUAAAGUUUUCUCCUGGGCUGUCUUUGCGGAUGUCCCCAGGAUCCCUGAGCUCCUUCACAGGUGUGCCCCAGUGCUGGGAGAGUGCUUCUCUCUCCCAGGAGAUGGUGAGCCUUGACCCAGUCACAUCUAGAGUGCCUGCUGGUAUAUUUAUGGGUUUCUCCACAGAUCCCCUCUCUCUAAUUACCUUGCUUAGAUGCAUGGCCUCAGAGGUAGAAGAGGGAUCUAAUUUCUGAGCUAUGGGACUGUGCUAGGACUUCGUGUGUCUGUGGGCAAAUCAUAAAGGCUUCAGCACCUUAUCUGUAAAAUGAAUUAGUUGGGAUGUGUUUAAUUAUACACUUUGCGUUAAAUAUUCACUGCAGUUAUUAAAUGUCUGAUAAGUACCUAUGUAGAUUGAGGUGAUCUUUAUAAC